AUACUCACCUAGCAGGGGCGACACUGAUCACCAAGGCAGUUCUCCAGAGGCGAGGCUCGCCCAUUGCACACGGGGUGUAGUGACCCCCUUUGAUUUCGCCAAAUGCAGGAAACUUUGCAUAACUGGUAGUGGGGGGGUUGUUAUUUUUCUUU
rnacentral:snRNA from 1 species